rnacentral:lncRNA from 1 species
GUUGCUGAUAGUAUUAAAUAAGAAGCUAUUUAUAAAAGCACUCAGAAGAAUGCCAGACACUUGCUAGAUACAUAAUACGUGGUGGUAUAUUAGUGUUAGUGCUACUAUUAAAACUCCUUAUGGAAUUUUCCAAGUCAUAAGUAUACUUUUCUCUUGCAGAUUAUCUGAGUAGGCUGAACCAUCAGUGAAAAAGAGGCCACGCAUCUCAAAAAUAGAACACCUAAGAGUAUGAAGCCAACGUGACACUCAGGACCUAAAGAAGAACAUAUAUUCUGCAGUUUUCUCCAUAAAACUGAUCACAUGGGAUUAUGGUCAAGAGUAUGUCAUACAGAGCUGUACUGAAACAUAUGUCCUGCUGCUUCCUAACUAGUUAUGUGAAACUGGCUUCACAAAGAAGCCUGAAAUUCAGAAUGCCUGAGGACCUGGCUGUGGUCACAGAGCUGGAGAGGGGUGUAUCUGACUCUGAAGACUUCACUCUCACUACAUUUCCUGGCCUGAGCACACGUCCUCAUGGGAAUGAUACAAUGGAUGUUUGGGGGAAUUUUUAAAAUUCCAUAUAAUUUGGAGGUACUAUUAUGAAAAUGUAAUUUAUCCCAAAUGACAUAUUUUUACAUUCAGGAGAAGAUAAUGAUGUUUUAAAAAAUCUGCAUGGAAGAGAAGGAAGUUGAUAAGAUACUUUUGUUUAAUCUGGGUUUCAUCUUGCUCAGAAUAGUUAUUUUAACUAUGUGGAAAUAGAGCCAGGAAUACUAUUUUAGCCAGGACCCAUUUUUGUCCAAAUACAUGGUAGGUGCAAAAAUGAAUAAAAUAAAUAUUCUUUCAAGGAUCCAAGACUCUCAAAUGUGCCACAGCAUCUGACCUUGGACAUGACACUUAGUAUAGUGAGUAGAUGCAAAGACUUGGAAACCAAAUAGGCAGGGGCUAGACCAGCAAGGAUUUAGAAGCCUACUACUAUUUAGUUGUCUUCAUAAGGAGAUAAGGUGCCGGGGACUGAUGAUACUGUUUCAUUUCUGUCCAGGAGAAAUGAUGACUUUAAUAUGUGUUUUAUGUACUUGAAGUUUGUUUGGUUGUGUUAACCAGCCAGGCACCAGGUGCUUUAACUAAAGCCUAAGAGGGUGUGGAAAAUGCUGGAGAUACUUUCAGUCAGGACACCCAGGUUCAAAUGUCAGUUCUGUCCUCAUCUAGAAAAAGGCCACAGUUCUUUUUCUCAUCUAUAAAAAAUAUAUUACUAUAAAAAUUCAGCACUGCCCUUGUCAUAGGGGAGGAUGUAAAGGUCAGCGAUUUCCCAGCCAUGAUUUCAGGACUUAACUACAAGUGACUGCAGUGUUCUCUACCCC